GAUGAACGCUGGCGGCGUGCCUAAUACAUGCAAGUCGAGCGAACAGACGAGGAGCUUGCUCCGCUGACGUUAGCGGCGGACGGGUGAGUAACACGUGGAUAACCUACCUAUAAGACUGGGAUAACUUCGGGAAACCGGAGCUAAUACCGGAUAAUAUAUUGAACCGCAUGGUUCAAUAGUGAAAGACGGUUUUGCUGUCACUAAUAGAUGGAUCCGCGCCGCAUUAGCUAGUUGGUAAGGUAACGGCUUACCAAGGCAACGAUGCGUAGCCGACCUGAGAGGAUGAUCGGCCACACUGGAACUGAGACACGGUCCAGACUCCUACGGGAGGCAGCAGUAGGGAAUCUUCCGCAAUGGGCGAAAGCCUGACGGAGCAACGCCGCGUGAGUGAUGAAGGUCUUCGGAUCGUAAAACUCUGUUAUUAGGGAAGAACAAAUGUGUAAGUAACUAUGCACGUCUUGACGGUACCUAAUCAGAAAGCCACGGCUAACUACGUG
rnacentral:rRNA from 1 species